AAAAGUCUAUUUAAGACUCUAAUUCAUCAUUUCUUUCUCCAUAAUUUAAAUCUCUCUCCAUCAUUUGAUUUCCAUAACUCUCAGCCUCUCUUUCCCUCUGACAUUCAUUCUCGGUGAUGAUUACCAGAUCAUGGUUUGGAACUACUUAUGCACAAGUGAAGUCUAGAUUCUAUUUUCUAAAAUAUUGUCUAUAAUGUUAAAAUCGAUUUUUUCUCCCCCUUUAAUAUUCACUCAUAACGAUUGAUUUUAGAAAGGAAAGUUUCAUGUGAUAUAUCAUGUGCGUUAAAUGUCUCUUGAAAUAGGAAAUGUUGAGAACAUUUUUUUAACCUCUGGAAAUAGGAUUGGCAAAAAGGUGUUGGAGGAAUUCAAUUUUUCUGAGGAGCCUACCUCUGAAAAAUUUCGGCUGGGCAGAGCAAAUUUUUAGGCCGUUAUCGUAGACAAUUCCCUGUUACUUUAUGUUUUACAAUGACUUUAAAUAAAAGUCAGGGGCAAUCUUUAUAUCUUGUUAGAUUGUAUUUGCCAAGGCAUGUCUUUACUCAUGGGCAGCUACAUGUUGCACUUUCUAGAGUUAAAUCUAGAAAAUGGUUAAAGAUGCCCAUCAUAGAUAAAGUAGGAGUUGUAUCUAACACCACACACAAUAUCGUGUAUCAAGAUGUCUUCGAUAAUAUUUGACAUGUAAGUGCUGAUUUAUCUUACAAUUAAUUUCAAUUUAAAUUUUAUUAAUAGGAAAAUUGAUAUGGUUAUUCUUUUUAUUGUUGGCAGCAUAAAAAGACGUCAAACAGUUUAUUGAUCAUCUAAUUCGAAGGGUUAUUGGCGUUUCUAUAAGGUUCUAUAGCUCAAAUAAAUAUGCUUGAUUGACAACAAGAUCAUUUAUGCAAUUUUUAUCAUUAAUCAUGGACUACAACUUCUAAUAAACGUUCAUGUUGUUGUCAUUGGUUGUGUUUAUUUUAUUUCAAUUAUAAUGUAAUGCAUUCUUUAAAAACUUGUUUCUUAUUACUAUUCAAAU